UUUUUUUAAAAAAAAAAAGGAUUUAUACUUAAUAAUAUUAGUUCUCCUGCAGGGUUACAAUAUCGGUGGUUGGUUGUUAACAAAACCCCACACCACCGUCAGAAAAAAUUACAAACUUGGAGAUUUAAUUUACUUAAAUGUCUAAAACCCAGAUAGUUUUCAUGGGUCAUCUUCUUUCUUGGGUUGGAGGGGGAAAAAAUAGCACCCAAAGAAAGAAUAAUUAUAAAAGAGAAAAUUAAACCAGAGAAGCAGUGAAGCAGCUUCAUCUCUACAGCCAUUAAUUUUCUCCAAACAGUGUAGAUCAUAAACCUAUAAUUAAACCUGAGCAAGAAAAAUGCAAUUAAUUAACUUCUUCCUCAUCUGAGCAUGGAUGUUAGGGACUGAAAAACUUCUUCUUGGCAAGGAAUGGUGAGACCCAUAUCAUGAUCAAACCCAAAUUCCUCUUCUGCUUGUUGAAGCAAGCU
rnacentral:misc_RNA from 1 species